rnacentral:rRNA from 1 species
GAUGAACGCUGGCGGCGUGCCUAAUACAUGCAAGUCGAGCGAACAGAUGAGGAGCUUGCUCCUCUGACGUUAGCGGCGGACGGGUGAGUAACACGUGGAUAACCUACCUAUAAGACUGGGAUAACUUCGGGAAACCGGAGCUAAUACCGGAUAAUAUAUUGAACCGCAUGGUUCAAUAGUGAAAGACGGUUUUGCUGUCACUUAUAGAUGGAUCCGCGCCGCAUUAGCUAGUUGGUAAGGUAACGGCUUACCAAGGCAACGAUGCGUAGCCGACCUGAGAGGGUGAUCGGCCACACUGGAACUGAGACACGGUCCAGACUCCUACGGGAGGCAGCGGUAGGGAAUCUUCCGCGAUGGGCGAAAGCCUGACGGAGCAACGCCGCGUGAGUGAUGAAGGUCUUCGGAUCGUAAAACUCUGUUAUUAGGGAAGAACAAAUGUGUAAGUAACUAUGCACGUCUUGACGGUACCUAAUCAGAAAGCCACGGCUAACUACGUG